UAAACUGAUCUGAAAAUUAUUUAUUCCAACUGCUUGGCAAAAGAUUAUAUUAAAGAAACAAUCACAAUUAAUUCAGGGAGAAAACCUUUAGGAAAAGGAUAUUACAAAACUACGAUCUAGUUGCCAUCACAGAAACAUGGUGGGAGGACUCGCAUAACUGGAGUGCUGUAAUUGAUGGCUACCAACUUUUCAGAAGGGACAGGCAAGGAAAGAGAGGAGGUGGGGUAGUCCUUCAUGUUAAGAACAGUAUUAUAUGCCUAGAACUCAGCAAUAUGCAUGAUGACAGUGUCGAGUGCCUAUGGAUAAGGAUCAAGGGGAAGACCAGUAAGGCAGACAUUGUGGUGGGAGUUUGUUAUAGACCCCCAAACCAGGAUAUAAAGACUGAUGAAGUAUUCUAUAGGCAGCUGACAGAAGCCUCACAAUCACUCUCCCUUGUACUCAUGGGGGACUUCAACUUCCCUGACAUCUGCUGGCAAUAUAACACAGCAGAGAGGCAACAGUCCUGGAGAUUCUUGGAAUGCAUGGAAGACAACUUCCUAAUACAGCUGGUGAGGGAACCGACCAGGGAAAGUGCCCUACUGGACCUGCUGAUAGUUAACUCAGAAGGUCUUGUGGGGGAUGUAAAUGUUGGAGGCCGUCUUGGACAGAGUGAUCAUGAAAUGAUAAAAUUUUCGAUUCUUGCUGAAGCAAGGCGGGGGGCCAGCAGGACCGCCACCCUGGAUUUCCGAAGGGCAGACUUUGGCCUCUUCAGGAGCAUGGUUGGGGGUGUCCCUUGGGAGAUGGUCCUUGAGGGCAAGGGUGCCCGGGAAAGCUGGUCAUACUUCAAGGAAGCACUCUUAAAGGCGCAAGAUAAAGCCAUUCCCAAGUCCCAAAAAUCAAGCAGGAAGGGAAGAAGACCAGCCUGGCUAAAUAGAGAGCUUCGGCUGGAACUCAGGAACAAAAAGAAGGCUUAUAAUCUUUGGAAAAAGGGCCUGGCAGACAAGGAGAAAUACCAGGAAGCGGUGAGGAUAUGCAGGGGGAAAAUUAGAANGCUCAUCUUGGCCACCAAAGUUAACAAUAACAAAAAGGGUUUUUUUCAGUAUGUUAACAGUAAGAGAAAGAUUAGGGAUAAUGUGGGCCCACUGAUGGAUGAGGUGGGCACCCUAGUAGUGGAAGACACGGAGAAAGCAGAGUUGCUGAAUGCCUUCUUUUCUUCAGUCUUCACUGUUAGGACUGCCCCUCAUGAAUCUCUGACCUUAGAGGCAAGGGGGAUGGUAUGGAGAGAGGAAAUUUUUCCUCUAGU
rnacentral:lncRNA from 1 species